CCUACGGGGGGCAGCAGUGAGGAAUAUUGGUCAAUGGACGAGAGCCUGAACCAGCCAAGUCGCGUGAAGGAUGACUGCCCUAUGGGUUGUAAACUUCUUUUGUCUGGGAGCAAUUGGGUCCACGUGUGGGAUUUUGUAUGUACCAUAUGAAUAAGGAUCGGCUAACUCCGUGCCAGCAGCCGCGGUAAUACGGAGGAUCCGAGCGUUAUCCGGAUUUAUUGGGUUUAAAGGGAGCGUAGGUGGAUUGUUAAGUCAGUUGUGAAAGUUUGCGGCUCAACCGUAAAAUUGCAGUUGAAACUGGCAGUCUUGAGUACAGUAGAGGUGGGCGGAAUUCGUGGUGUAGCGGUGAAAUGCUUAGAUAUCACGAAGAACUCCGAUUGCGAAGGCAGCUCACUGGACUGCAACUGACACUGAGGCUCGAAAGUGUGGGUAUCAAACAGGAUUAGAUACCCCUGUAGUC
rnacentral:rRNA from 1 species